rnacentral:rRNA from 1 species
UGGGGAAUAUUGGACAAUGGGUGAAAGCCUGAUCCAGCCAUGCCGCGUGUGUGAAGAAGGCCUUUUGGUUGUAAAGCACUUUAAGCGAGGAGGAGGCUACUUAGAUUAAUACUCUAGGAUAGUGGACGUUACUCGCAGAAUAAGCACCGGCUAACUCUGUGCCAGCAGCCGCGGUAAUACAGAGGGUGCGAGCGUUAAUCGGAUUUACUGGGCGUAAAGCGUGCGUAGGCGGCUUUUUAAGUCGGAUGUGAAAUCCCUGAGCUUAACUUAGGAAUUGCAUUCGAUACUGGGAAGCUAGAGUAUGGGAGAGGAUGGUAGAAUUCCAGGUGUAGCGGUGAAAUGCGUAGAGAUCUGGAGGAAUACCGAUGGCGAAGGCAGCCAUCUGGCCUAAUACUGACGCUGAGGUACGAAAGCAUGGGGAGCAAACAGGAUUAGAUACCCCUGUAGUCCCUGAGCGGGCUGGCAAGGCGCAU